GGAGUUGUGGCUCAAAGGUAGAGCGUGUGCCUAGCACGCGCGAGGCCCUGGGUUCUAUCCUCAGCACCA
rnacentral:tRNA from 2 species